UUUGGAUCCUUNGAACAAGGUUUCCGUAGGUGAACCUGCGGAAGGAUCAUUACUGAGCGCGAGGCCACGCGGGGCGCAUGCCUUGCGUCGGCUGACCCUCCACCCGUGUGAACUGUCUCCUGUUGCUUUGGCGGGCCGGGCUCGUCCUGCCGGCUCCGGCUGGGGAGUGCCCGCCAGAGAAGCCCCAACUCGUGCUGUUUGUGUCGUCUGAGUGAAUGUGGAAUUAGUAAAACUUUCAACAACGGAUCUCUUGGCUCUGGCAUCGAUGAAGAACGCAGCGAAAUGCGAUAAGUAAUGUGAAUUGCAGAAUUUAGUGAAUCAUCGAAUCUUUGAACGCACAUUGCGCCCCCCGGCAUUCCGAGGGGCAUGCCUGUUCGAGCGUCAGAACACCCUCAAGCCUAGCUUGGUCUUGGGGCUCGCCGACCCGGCGGCUCCUAAACGCAGUGGCGGUGCUGUUGUGCUCUCCGCGUAGUCACGUAUCUCGCGACAGGGCAGCGACGACACCCGCCAGAACCCCAUUUUCUGGAUGACCUCGGAUCAGGUAGGGAUACCCGCUGAACUUAAGCAUAUCAAUAAGCGGAAGCUGCAGAA
rnacentral:rRNA from 1 species